rnacentral:rRNA from 1 species
AUGAACGCUAGCGGCAGGCUUAACACAUGCAAGUCGAGGGGCAGCGGGUGUAGCAAUACAUGCCGGCGACCGGCGCAAGGGUGCGUAACGCGUGAGCAAUCUGCCCGUAUCAGGGGGAUAAGCGAUGGAAACGUCGUCUAAUACCGCAUAACACCAAUGAUGGCAUCAUCGAUGGUUGAAAGCUUCGGUGGAUACGGAUGAGCUCGCGAGACAUUAGUUAGUUGGCGGGUAACGGCCCACCAAGACCGCGAUGUCUAGGGGAACUGAGAGGUUGGUCCCCCACACUGGAACUGAGACACGGUCCAGACUCCUACGGGAGGCAGCAGUGAGGAAUAUUGGACAAUGGCCGGAAGGCUGAUCCAGCCAUGCCGCGUGAAGGAAUAAGGUCCUAUUGGAUUGUAAACUUCUUUUGUACGAGAGCAAUAAGUGUCACGAGUGACACGAUGAGAGUAUCGUACGAAUAAGCAUCGGCUAACUCCGUGCCAGCAGCAGC